rnacentral:rRNA from 1 species
AGUGAACGCUGGCGGCAGGCCUAACACAUGCAAGUCGAACGGCAGCACAGUAAGAGCUUGCUCCUACGGGUGGCGAGUGGCGGACGGGUGAGGAAUACAUCGGAAUCUACUUUUUCGUGGGGGAUAACGUAGGGAAACUUACGCUAAUACCGCAUACGACCUACGGGUGAAAGCAGGGGAUCUUCGGACCUUGCGCGAUUGAAUGAGCCGAUGUCGGAUUAGCUAGUUGGCGGGGUAAAGGCCCACCAAGGCGACGAUCCGUAGCUGGUCUGAGAGGAUGAUCAGCCACACUGGAACUGAGACACGGUCCAGACUCCUACGGGAGGCAGCAGUGGGGAAUAUUGGACAAUGGGCGCAAGCCUGAUCCAGCCAUACCGCGUGGGUGAAGAAGGCCUUCGGGUUGUAAAGCCCUUUUGUUGGGAAAGAAAAGCAGCAGGUUAAUACCCCGCUGUUCUGACGGUACCCAAAGAAUAAGCACCGGCUAACUUCGUG